rnacentral:rRNA from 2 species
UACACAUGCAGUCGAGCGGCAGCGGGAAAGUAGCUUGCUACUUUUGCCGGCGAGCGGCGGACGGGUGAGUAAUGCCUGGGAAAUUGCCCAGUCGAGGGGGAUAACAGUUGGAAACGACUGCUAAUACCGCAUACGCCCUACGGGGGAAAGCAGGGGACCUUCGGGCCUUGCGCGAUUGGAUAUGCCCAGGUGGGAUUAGCUAGUUGGUGAGGUAAUGGCUCACCAAGGCGACGAUCCCUAGCUGGUCUGAGAGGAUGAUCAGCCACACUGGAACUGAGACACGGUCCAGACUCCUACGGGAGGCAGCAGUGGGGAAUAUUGCACAAUGGGGGAAACCCUGAUGCAGCCAUGCCGCGUGUGUGAAGAAGGCCUUCGGGUUGUAAAGCACUUUCAGCGAGGAGGAAAGG